AUGUUGGAUGUCUUGUUUGUCUAUUUCUAUGUCCGGCCUGAUAUGGUUCUCAAUCAGAGGCAGGUGUUAGUCAUUGUCUCUGAUUGGGAACCAUAUUUAGGUAGCCUGGGUUUCACUGUGUGUUUGUGGGUGAUUGUCCUUAGUGUUAGUUUGCACCAGUUUAGGCUGUUUCGGUUUUCAUUACGUUUAUUAUUUUGCACUGUUUGUAUUUGGAUUCAUGUUGCUGUAGUCACAAUAAACAUGGAUCGCAAUCUACACGCCGCAUUUUGGUCCGACUCUCCUUCACACCUAGAAGACCGUUACAGAAUCACCCACCACAAAAGGACCAAGCAGCGUGUCAACAGGCAGGAGCAGCGCGAGGAGACGCGCAAUAAGGAUUUCUGGACAUGGGAGGAAAUCCUCGACGGGAGAGGACCCUGGGCUAAACCAGGGGAGUGUAGCCGCCCAAAGGAGCAGCCCAAAGAGGAGGUAUGGACAUGGGAGGACGAAUUAGAAGGAAGAGGACCCUGGGCUCAGCCAGGAGAAUAUCGCCGCCCCAAAGAAGAACUGGAGGCGGCGAAAGCGGAGAGGCGCAGAUAUGAGGAGGCAGCACGACGUAGCGGAUGGAAGCCUGAGAAGCAGCCCCAAAAAUUUCUUGGGGGGGGGCUAACAGGGAGUAUGGCUACGCCAGGUAGGAGACCUGAGCCAACUUCCUGUGGUUACCGGGGGGCUAGAGAGACCGGGCAGGCACCGUGUUAUGCUGUGGAGCGCACGGUGUCCCCAGUGCGGGUGCACAGCCCGGUGCGGUACAUUCCAGCUCCGCGUAUCGGCCGGGCUAGAGUGGGCAUCGAGCCAAGUGCCAUGAAGCCGGCUCUACGCAUCUGGUCUCCAGUGCGUCUCCUUGGGCCGGCUUACAUGGCACCAGCCUUGCGCACGGUGUCCCCGGUUCGCCUGCAUAGCCCAGUGCGGGCUAUUCCACCUCGCCGCACUGGCAGGGCGACCGGGACCAUUCAACCGGGUAAGGUUGGGCAGGCUCGGUGCUCAAGAGCUCCAGUGCGCCUGCACGGCCCGGUCUAUCCGUCA
rnacentral:lncRNA from 13 species